rnacentral:rRNA from 1 species
AGAGUUUGAUCCUGGCUCAGAUUGAACGCUGGCGGCACGCCUAACACAUGCAAGUCGAGCGGUAACAUGAGUAGUAGUAAUACUAUUUGAUGACGAGCGGCGGACGGGUGAGUAACACGUAGGAACUUGCCCAGAAGAGGGGGAUAACCAAGGGAAACUUUGGCUAAUACCGCAUAAUACUCGGAAGAGGAAAGGUGUUG